rnacentral:rRNA from 1 species
AACGGCUGGCGGCGUGCCUAAUACAUGCAAGUCGAACGGUCUUUCUAUGGAAGCUUGCUUCCACUGAAAAGAUAGUGGCGAACGGGUGAGUAACACGUGGGUAACCUGCCCAUAAGAGGGGGGAUAACAUCCGGAAACGGGUGCUAAUACCGCAUAGUUUUCUUGAUCGCAUGAUUGAGAAAGGAAAGACGGCCUUUGUGCUGUCGCUUAUGGAUGGACCCGCGGCGUAUUAGUUAGUUGGUGAGGUAACGGCUCACCAAGACGAUGAUACGUAGCCGACCUGAGAGGGUGAUCGGCCACAUUGGGACUGAGACACGGCCCAAACUCCUACGGGAGGCAGCAGUAGGGAAUCUUCCGCAAUGGACGAAAGUCUGACGGAGCAACGCCGCGUGAGUGAAGAAAGGUUUUCGGAUCGUAAAACUCUGUUGUCAGAGAAGAACAAGUUGGAGAGUAACUGCUCCAGCCUUGACGGUAUCUGACCAGAAAGCCACGGCUAACUACGUGCCAGCCGCUGC